GAUGAACGCUGGCGGCGUGCCUAAUACAUGCAAGUCGAGCGAACGGACGAGAAGCUUGCUUCUCUGAUGUUAGCGGCGGACGGGUGUGUAACACGUGGAUAACCUACCUAUAAGACUGGGAUAACUUCGGGAAACCGGAGCUAAUACCGGAUAAUAUUUUGAACCGCAUGGUUCAAAAGUGAAAGACGGUCUUGCUGUCACUUAUAGAUGGAUCCGCGCUGCAUUAGCUAGUUGGUAAGGUAACGGCUUACCAAGGCAACGAUGCAUAGCCGACCUGAGAGGGGGAUCGGCCACACUGGAACGGAGACACGGUCCAGACGCCUGCGGGAGGCAGCAGUAGGGAAUCUUCCGCAAUGGGCGAGAGCCUGACGGAGCAACGCCGCGUGAGUGAUGAAGGUCUUCGGAUCGUAAAACUCUGUUAUUAGGGAAGAACAUAUGUGUAAGUAACUGUGCACAUCUUGACGGUACCUAAUCAGAAAGCCACGGCUAACUACGUG
rnacentral:rRNA from 1 species